GAGACUUUAAAAAAUAGUGAGGUCAUGUUCAUGGGUUCAUUGUCCAUUCAGAAACCUAAUGAUGGAGAGGAAGAGCUGUUCCUGAAAUGUUGAGCCUGUGGUUUCUGGCUCCUGUACCUCCUUGAUGAUAGCAAUGAGUCCUAGGUAAUGGAGUUCCUUAAUGAUGGACGCUGCAUUUUUGAGGCAUCGCCUUUUGAAGUAUUCACUGUGAAUACCUGCAAGAAAACGAAUGUCAGAGUAACAUCUGGUGACAUGAAAGAUUUGGAAGCUUCAGAGAGGCUGCAGAGGAGAUUUACCAGGAUGCUGCCUGAUUAGAAAGC